rnacentral:rRNA from 1 species
AGUUGUGUAGUGCGAUCGGUGGAUGCCUUGGCACCAAGAGCCGAUGAAGGACGUUGUGACCUGCGAUAAGCCCUGGGGAGUUGGUGAGCGAGCUGUGAUCCGGGGGUGUCCGAAUGGGGAAACCUGGAAUGUCCGGAGUAGUGUCCGGUGGCCCUGCCCUGAAUGUAUAGGGGUGUGGGUGGUAACGCGGGGAAGUGAAACAUCUUAGUACCCGUAGGAAGAGAAAACAAGUGUGAUUCCGUGAGUAGUGGCGAGC